rnacentral:rRNA from 1 species
GUCUACAGCCAUACCACCCUGAAUGUCCCUGAUCUUGUCUGAUCUUGGAAGCUGAGCGGGGUCGGGCCUGGUUAGUAUUGGAUGGGAGAAAAAGCAUUUAGCCGCCAGAUA